rnacentral:rRNA from 1 species
UACAGAGGUCUCGAGCGUUGUUCGGAUUCAUUGGGCGUAAAGGGCGCGUAGGCGGCGGGGUAAGUCUGGUGUGAAAUCUCGGAGCUCAACUCCGAAAUUGCACUGGAUACUGCUCUGCUAGAGGGCUGGAGAGGAGAUCGGAAUUUACGGUGUAGCGGUGAAAUGCGUAGAUAUCGUAAGGAAGACCAGUGGCGAAGGCGGCUCACUGGCCCGGUUCUGACGCUGAGGUGCGAAAGCGUGGGGAGCAAACAGG